AGCGAACGCUGGCGGCAGGCUUAACACAUGCAAGUCGAGCGCCCCGCAAGGGGAGCGGCAGACGGGAGAGUAACACGUGGGAACAUACCUUUUGGUUCGGAACAACUGAGGGAAACUUCAGCUAAUACCGGAUAAGCCCUUACGGGGAAAGAUUUAUCGCCGAAAGAUUGGCCCGCGUCUGAUUAGCUAGUUGGUGAGGUAACGGCUCACCAAGGCGACGAUCAGUAGCUGGUCUGAGAGGAUGAUCAGCCCCACUGGGACUGAGACACGGCCCAGACUCCUACGGGAGGCAGCAGUGGGGAAUAUUGGACAAUGGGGGCAACCCUGAUCCAGCCAUGCCGCGUGAGUGAUGAAGGCCUUAGGGUUGUAAAGCUCUUUUGCCCGGGAAGAUAAUGACGGUACCGGGAGAAUAAGCCCCGGCUAACUUCGUG
rnacentral:rRNA from 1 species